rnacentral:lncRNA from 1 species
GCCAGUGUCACCAAAGUCAAAGUCCUCAAGGUCCAGAGGCCGAAGGUCUCCGAGGCCAGGGACUGGGACAACAGGCAAAAGUCCAGUUUCCGGAAGACCACAGGAAGAAGGCGGGAGCUGCACACCUGGGCCCUCGUGGUGGGAGAGGAGGGCACACACAGAUUUGAAGGCUACACUGCCCACAAGUUGCCUUCAGCUGCAGUAUGGAAGACACAUCAGAAAGCGUAGGAGAGACCAUUGGCAGCUCUUACAGCCUGACCCCUCCAGAAUGGACACAGGAGAAAGCCUGAAUGACCUGUUCGAGACCCCCAGCAAUGCAGGAUGUUCUGGGAGUUCAGUGUCUUUAAUCUUCCAGGAAGCGCUCCCACGAGGCUGCUGGGCCUGGGCGAACCCCAGCUGGGCCAGUCUCUGAGAAGGGCCUUCCUUUUUUCAUCUCACAAG